rnacentral:rRNA from 1 species
GACGAACGCUGGCGGCGUGCUUAACACAUGCAAGUCGAACGGAAAGACCCUGCUUUUGUGGGGUGCUCGAGUGGCGAACGGGUGAGUAACACGUGAGUAACCUGCCCUUGACUUUGGGAUAACUUCAGGAAACUGGGGCUAAUACCGGAUAGGAGCUCCUGCUGCAUGGUGGGGGUUGGAAAGUUUCGGCGGUUGGGGAUGGACUCGCGGCUUAUCAGCUUGUUGGUGGGGUAGUGGCUUACCAAGGCUUUGACGGGUAUCCGGCCUGAGAGGGUGACCGGCCACAUUGGGACUGAGAUACGGCCCAGACUCCUACGGGAGGCAGCAGUGGGGAAUAUUGCACAAUGGGCGGAAGCCUGAUGCAGCAACGCCGCGUGCGGGAUGACGGCCUUCGGGUUGUAAACCGCUUUCGCCUGUGACGAAGCGUGAGUGACGGUAAUGGGUAAAGAAGCACCGGCUAACUACGUG